AUUGAACGCUGGCGGCAGGCCUAACACAUGCAAGUCGAGCGGAUGAAGGGAGCUUGCUCCUGGAUUCAGCGGCGGACGGGUGAGUAAUGCCUAGGAAUCUGCCUGGUAGUGGGGGAUAACGUCCGGAAACGGGCGCUAAUACCGCAUACGUCCUGAGGGAGAAAGUGGGGGAUCUUCGGACCUCACGCUAUCAGAUGAGCCUAGGUCGGAUUAGCUAGUUGGUGGGGUAAAGGCCUACUAAGGCGACGAUCCGUAACUGGACUGAGAGGAUGAUCAGUCACACUGGAACGGGGACACGGUCCAGACUACUACGGUAGGCAGCAGUGGGGAAUAUGGGACAGUGGGCGAAAGCCUGAUCCAGCCAUGCCGCGUGUGUGAAGAAGGUCUUCGGAUUGUAAAGCACUCUAAGUUGGGAGGAAGGGCAGUAAGUUAAUACCUUGCUGUAUUGACGUUACCAACAGAAUAAGCACCGGCUAACUUCGUG
rnacentral:rRNA from 1 species